rnacentral:rRNA from 1 species
UACCCUUGACAUGUCCGGAAUCCCGAAGAGAUUUGGGAGUGCUCGCAAGAGAGCCGGAACACAGGUGCUGCAUGGCUGUCGUCAGCUCGUGUCGUGAGAUGUUGGGUUAAGUCCCGCAACGAGCGCAACCCUUGUCAUUAGUUGCCAUCAUUUGGUUGGGCACUCUAAUGAGACUGCCGGUGACAAACCGGAGGAAGGUGGGGAUGACGUCAAGUCCUCAUGGCCCUUAUGGGUAGGGCUUCACACGUCAUACAAUGGUCGGUACAGAGGGUUGCCAACCCGCGAGGGGGAGCUAAUCCCACAAAGCCGAUCGUAGUCCGGAUCGCAGUCUGCAACUCGACUGCGUGAAGUCGGAAUCGCUAGUAACCGUGGAUCAGCAUGUCACGGUGAAUACGUUCCCGGGUCUU